UCACGCCACUGAACUCCAGCCUGGGCAGCAAGAGCAAAACUCUGUCUCAAAAAAAAAAAAAGGAUUCUUGAAGGGGUAGUGGAGUUUCUGCACCUCAACAGGUAUUACUGUCUCACAGUUUAAAUGAAUGUUGCCAUCCAAACUUCUAAGUGUUGUUAAAUAUCCGAUACCUCCAGUUAGCAACAGAAGCUCAGUCAACGUGCUUUGUCCAUACAAAUUAUUCUAAGUACUAUGAACAUUAAAAAAGAUAACUUAUGACAUUCAAAAUAAGAGGAGUGUAAUUCACACUACACUGAGAUACCAUUUCUUACCUAUCAUACUGAGAAGUGUAUUCAUUUUUUUAUCUCCGCUGUAACAAAUUACCAUAAACAUAGCAGUUAAAGCAAAACAAAACAAAAAAAUUAUGUUGUGUAGUUCAGAAUUCCAAAAUAUACUUUAUGAGCUAAAAUUAAUGUCUGGGCCUAGCUGCCUGCCAUUCCUGAGGCUCCAGGAGAGAAUCUACUUCUUGCCUUUGCUGGCUUCAAGAGCAGUGGUCCUCAACCAUUUUGGCACCAGGGAUGGGAUUUCUGGAAGAUGGAUGGGGCAAUGGUUUCAAGGUGAAACUGUUCCACUUCAGGUCAUCAAGCAUUAGUUAGAUUCUCAUAAGAAGCGUUCAACCUAGAUCCCUCACAUGCGCAGUUCACAAUAGGGUUCACGCUCCGGUGAGAAUAUGCUGCCACUCAUCUCACAGGAAGCAGAGCUCAGGCGGUGACGUUUGCUCGCUGCUCAACUCCUUCUGUGUGGCCUAGUUUCUAACAGGUCACAGACUGGUACCGGUCUGCGGCCCAGGGGUUGGGGACUCCUGUUCUACAGGCUGCCCUCAUUUCUUGUCACAAGGCUGCAUCUCUCUUGUCAUCAGGUCUCCUUUGCUUCUUACACUUCAGCCUCCCUCCUAUAAUGACCCAUGUGAUUACAGUGCCUUCACCUGAAUAGUCCAUGGUGCUCUCCCUGUUUGAAGAUCCUUUAAUCACAUUGGCAAAGUCAUUUUUGCCAUGAAAAGUAACAAAUGAACAGAUUUUGAGAUUAAGACAUGGACAUCUUUGGUGUUGAGAGCGGUGGGGAGGCUCCUUCCUACCACACAGCUAGCAUUCAAAUUAUUCAGAUCACUCUAGUGGAGAGACCCUGGGUAGACAGGUAUGCUCAUAUGUUGGCGGUUAGAAGGAAAAUGACACAAGUCUGUGUAAGAUAAGUUUGCAAAUCCUCACAUUCUAACACUUAAAAUUUACAUUUUCAUGCAGAAUUCCCCCUUCUCCAGUGAAAAAAGUAUACAAGCAAAACCACGAAAAAGGUAGAUUUACAAAACUAUUCAAAUGUUUCUUAUUUGUAAUAGCAAAAAAGAACCAAAAUUCCCACCGACAAUAUCCUGGAACAGCACCCAACUUACAACAAGAAUAAGGAAUACUGCCACACCACUGCAGAGUGGCCUCUAGGAUCCCCUGUUAACUUAAAAAGAUUAAGGUAUGGAACAAAGUUUGUGACUAUUCUACCAAUGAACCAAGACAGAGGACAACCCAGAAGACUGCACAGGGAGAGCAGAGCUGGCACAGCUUGGAGUCAGGGUUGGGAGUCAGGUGUGGUCAAGACAUGAAGCUACUAACGUCUGCAUGGUCGAUAUCAUGGACAGCCUUAAAUACAGAAUUAAGGAGCUUGGAUUUUAACCUGUAUUCCGAGUUUAAAAAAAUACUGUUUCUGACAAGUACUCUCAGAUUUUGGGAGUGGAAUUUUUAUAAAAGAUAUUUUAAAGGCUGUAAUGCUCCCGCCCCCAAAUUUAAAACGUGUUCUAGUUUUGUCAGCUUAUCCAAGUCUCCAGCAUCUUGCGAGGUUCCCCUAUGAACCCAUGGAGUAUCCAUAUUUUUAACUACUUCAAUUUUGGUAUAGCAGCAUGGCAUGGCCCCAAGGUCCAUGAUCUUGCAUGUUCCUGCAUAAAUGCUCUCCUUUCAGAGCUCCAAGUGUCUGCAUUCAAACAGUGACUAUCCAACUUUUUAAUAGCUGUUUUUCGGCAGAAAGAUGACAUAACUUCUAUGAGCCUCAGUUUUCUUAUUUUUCAAAUGGGGAUUGGGACUGUAUUCAUUGAAAUAGUGCUGAGACCCCUUCCAUGCAUAAAAAUAAUGUGGUAUCUUCAGUGUAAGAUGAAAAAAAAGUCUUCCUUUUGGUUUUUGAAGGUCUUGGAGUUUAUUAUCUAUAUCAGGUUGAACACAUCACUUGGUUAUUAGAACGUUAGAUCAUGUCCACAAUCAGAGCUCCUAUUGGAUUAUUCCAAACCCUGAGUUGCAGACAACAUUAGACAUGACAAGGAAUUCAAGCAAAAGGGAAACAGAAAACACUGUGCUUUUUCAAUGAAUCCAAUGUAGGAAUUGAGCUCCACCUUUUUCAGGAAUAGCUGCAAUUGUGGAAUCAAACAGAAGUCCCUAAAUCUCUGCAGUUUUCUGCUUGAAUGUUUCAUUUUCUAGGUCUCAGUGUAAGUUUCUAUUAUUUUGUGCCCACAUGACCUGAAUGUGACCUGACCAUUUCUGAGUAUGAGGAAUUCAAUUUUAUUGUCCAGAUAUACAGAGAGAAACAAGUUCACUGUUGAUACAAAGAGCAAAAAUGUCAAGAGAAGAGGCACUGGUGUGCAUACGUCAGAUGCCCCACUCUGCAAAAAUCAAUAAUAUCUAAGUAAUAAGAUUCCUCGGGACAUGACCCUCCAGCCACAUUCAUCUGAAGAGAGUACAGAUGUGAGGGGGAAAACUCCUGAUAACAUGUGCUGUCCCAAAGGUUUGUGUGAGUGGAGGAUAAACUAAAGAUACGUGUUUGCUGCAGUUAAGUACAUCAUUUUCUGGCAUAGCAGAGAGUAGCCAGAUUCACAGCAGAAACGACAAAGUCAUUGACUCUAAAUUAGAGGACACUUAAGUUUAGCUCCUACAUUGCUACCUGCAUUCUCUUCACAAUUCACAAUCUAUUUCAUCACAGACAGAGGUGAGACUCAUCUUCAAUACUGUAUCUCACACAACACCCACUGCUCUGUAUCAAGGCUGUAAAGGCAGAAUUCCAUUUCUCAUGCAAAUGAGGGAAACAGGAAAAGAAUACACGUGUGUAAACGAUUUACAGAGAGAAACAGCAAGUUUACUCUUGAUAUGAAGACUAAAAAUAUCAAGGGGAGAUGCUGGUGUGCAUGUGUCAGAUGCCCCACACUAUAUGUCAACAAUAUCCAAGUAACAGGAUCCCUUGAGACAUGACCCCUCCAGCCACAGUCAUCUGAAUACAGUGCAAAUGUGAGGAAAAACCUUCUUGGUGGGUAGAAGAUAAGCAAAAAACAUGUGUUAGCAGCCAUUAAUUACAUCAUUUUCUGGCAUAAGAGAAAGCAACUAAAUUCAUGAUAGAAACAACAAAGUCAUUGACUUCAAAAAAAAAAGAACAAUGAAGUUUAGCUCCUAUAUUUGCUAACUGAAUUUUCUUCAUAAUUGAAAAUCCACUUCACAGGUAGAGGUGAAACUUAUCUUCAAUACUCGAUCUCACACAGCACCUGCUGCCUUGUAUCUAGGCAGUAAGGGCAGAAUUCUAUUUCUCUUGCAAAUGAGAAAAAAGGGAAAAGGAUUUCCAUUCACUUCACCCAUGUGCUCCUUAACUACUUAUGGCAUGCAUACAGUGGGCUGCAACUGUGCAGACAAUCAAACCCAUCACCUCUUUUCCUCAUCUUUCUCACAGUGACUCAUGACUCAUGGUAUGACCACACUCAUGGCUGGCUACAAAUGAGAGGAAAAAAGAAUGUCCUGAUAGUAGCAUGUGAGGAACUGCAUCAGGUAACCAUCUUUCCCCAAAAUUCACUCUCUUUCACACCAUUUCACAGCUAUCUUCCCUCCAUUAAUGGUUCUAUUCCACUGUCCCAUUCAAAGGUUAUCCCAGUGAGAAGAUCAAGGAUGGUCGCUGUCUGCCUUUUCUUCAUUGUUCCAGACAUAAGAGCCAGUGUAGAGAUAAUCAGCCAAUUACUGGGCAAGAAACUAAGCCCAGAAGAACUGAACUCAAGUCAUUAAGCACACAUCCUUCCAGACCAUGAAAGAUAAUAAAAUGAGCAACUAUUCCUUACCAUUUAUGCCUGAGGUUGCAAUUUUUUGAAUUUCUGCAAUCAGAC
rnacentral:lncRNA from 1 species